AUGCUGUCUGUAGUCAUAGCAGAUCGGAAUGCAGACAAAUCCUGGAGCGGAUCAGAGUCUGAACCGGACAGUGAGGAUAAGGGUGCAAUCCGCCCACCACUGUCUAGACCACUCCCCUCCAGCAGCACCUCCCUCCCGCAACCCCCUGUAGCAACCCCACCUGCCUCUUUGCCCCACCCACCUCAGAUGAGCUCCACUCCCUACAGCAGAACCCUUAAGGAAGAGGCCUCCACAGAGGAUGAGGAAGAAGAGGAUGAAAGGGAAGAACCGGAGGAAAUUUGUGAAAAGGCUAAAGAUUCUCAAAAUGGUGCUAGCAAGGAGAAGCGAAGAGAUUUUCUUUUAGAAUUGGGACUCGAAAAGGAAGAUGAAAAUGACGAAUCUCCCUGGGAUUCAGAGUCUGGUUCUGAGAGCCCACAGAAGAAACAGGCCAGUGCCCAACACACUCCCGGCAAAUCACAUAGAUCUAUGCACAGUAUUUGUGAGGAGAACACUGAAGGUACGUCAUGUCUAGUGAUUUUUUUUUAUUGCAUAAAAAUAUGAUUGCAUUUUAGAAUGAAGUACCAUAAUAGCUUUGUCUGUGUAGCCUUCUGCGACCAUUUCAUGCUUGAAAAUAUGCAAAAGGUUGACAUUUUCCAUUGCUUCUGCUAAACAGACAAGACUUGCUAUGCUGAAUUAUGCAAAGUUUAUCUUAUUUGUAGAUUUGCAUUUCAUAAUCUCAUUGAAUUCCUUUGUAGACUUCUUAUACAUUCCCUCCUUCAUAAGAGGAGGGAGGAACGUUAAUUUAUUGAGAAGUAUAGGCCAGCCAGGAGGCUGCAGGCCGAUGGGUAGGCAUUCAUGAUUUGCUGUUGUCCUGCUGGAUUAAUUAUCACCGUUACAGCCGUCACAUUAACAUCUUGUCCUCGGAUCCUGAUCUCUUGUCUUAUGCAUCUGUUGUCAUCUGUGCAUUUAAGGCAUGUGAUGUGACACGGCAUGAUGCUCAGCUAAUACAUGCUUUAGUGGGAAAGGUCCAUUAUUGUUACUCAUGUUUACAAGAUGAAUUCAUUGAAAUGAACUAUUUCCUUUAUUGUCUUUGAGUAUUUGGUCACUCUCAAACCCCAGUUCACAGGCAUCAUGGGAGAUCUCCUUUGCUGCAUGUGCAUGCCUGCACACUCGUGACAUGGAAGAUUGUCUUUGUCUGUUGAUUCUCAUGUUUUUUGAGGGGAAUUUUGAGCAUUGUCCCUUUUUGCCUUUCAGUUUUAAGAAAUGACGAGUAUGAAGAUGAAGAAGAGACGGAAUCCGAAAUGCCAGUAAGCAACAUUUUGAACGUUUUUGACCUUGAUUUGCUUUUCCUAAAUGAAGAACCAAUUUUUGCUACGCAGUUUUUUGGUAAAAUACAUUAAUGAUUAGAUUGUUAAUAAAGUCAAUAUUGAAUGUUCA
ensembl:lncRNA